UAAAUAUGACUUAAUUUUAAGAUAUUGAUUUUUUUUUAAAUACUGAAAUAUUUCUUAAAAGAAGUGAUUUAUUGAAUGCAUUUUGAUUCAAUAUAAAUAAGGAGGAUGCAUUUAAGAUUUGCAUAACCAUGAAAAUCUUCGGGAUGCUGGGUAUCAGUUCCCUAGGCUUACUACAACUUUUCCUGGGCAUUGUUAUCAAAAAAGAUUUUAGCGAAAAAAACACAAAAAAGUGUGUCAACGUUGUCAAUUAUAAAAUUGAUAAUAAAAAUGUGCGGCAAAAUCGCUAUUAUAUUCAUGUUUUAGCAGAGAGCUGUAGAUUAACUUAUCUUAAUUCUCACCCAUACUUGUUAGAAAAUUAAAUCAAAUAUUCUAAUCCAUAUAUCUUUAAGACCAUGCGGUGUAAACCUUUAAUAAUUUAAAGUUAGACUGCUUGAUCUUGCAGAAUUUAUAGUUUGAAAUAUCUAAGGUCUACCACAUUGGGAUAUUGUACAAUAACGAAAAAAAGAGAAAGUAUCAAUUUAUUUAUUUAGUUAGAAUAUUAAACAAAUAUAUAUAUAACCAGACCUCCCCCACUCCCCAGCCCUAGCUACAUCACAGUGAAAUCAUUUCAAUAAGUUGUAUAUUUCGGAAUCCAUUUGAGAAGCAGAAGCAAUCUGCAAUAAAAAGAGGAAUCUUGAACAGAAAUGUUUUCAACCUUGAACCGUAACAUGUUUACGACUAAACCUGGAUUAGAAAUUGCAAAAAUAAACUUUAACCUUAGCUAUUUAAAAGUUUGUGAGAAAGGAGAAAGAUUAUUGAACAAUUUUAUUUUAAACCUGAAAUAAAUUAAUGCUAAAAGAACUCCGACCCUAAAAAUUUGCGAAACAAAUAGUGAAAAUCCACGAAUUGAAAACAUUAAACUACAAAAAAUGGCACCGUUUCUGUUAUUGAUAAUUAAUUUAUCUUUGGCAGAAAGUGUACCAUUAGAAAGCCAGGGAGGAGAGAUAAACAAGUGGGAGGACAAAAGGUUGGAUGGUGUGCCGAAGCUCUUUAAAUCCUCUGGUUAUGACCGCAGUAGAAUGCCCCACGAUGCUGAUGGAUUGCUCAGGGUUGAAGCAGAACUGAACCUGAGGAAUAUUAUGAGGGUAGAUGAGAGGGAGAAGAUGAUUUCUUUGGAGGUUACAUUAAGGUUAUUUUGGGUUGAUAAAAGAGUUCAUCUAAAUCCAGCAAUUCCUCUUGAAAACUGUGAUACGGACGGAAGCUACGUAGUUCUGCAUCCUUCAACUGCAGAUAGUCUGUGGAUCCCGGACCUAUUUAUUGAUAUGGUAAAAGAGAUUAGAACUCCUACUAUACGCAUUCCAACAUCCUCAGUCAGACUGUAUAACAACUCUUUAAUCAGGUUUGCUAAAAGAUUUAAUUUUGAUGUUUCCUGCCAGAUGGAUUUUCAUAAGUAUCCUGUAGAUAAACAGACUUGUGUUAUACACUUCGAAUCAUUCUCACUUACUGAUAAAGAGUUGAAGUUAAGCUGGAGACCUACUGGUAAUAAUGUAAAUAAUAUAACUCUAGAUCAGUUCACCCAUAGUGUUAAUAUUAGGGAGAGCUACACAACAAAUUCAUAUCGGCAGAAGUUUGCUGGUCUUCAGUUUACAUUAUACCUCAGGAGGAAUAUAUAUUAUCAUCUAGUACAGACGUAUAUCCCGAGUUUACUGCUUGUACUACUCAGCUGGGGAUCAAUGUUUGUACAUAGUUCUGCUCCUGCUAGGGUUGGAAUAGGGAUGACAGCUCUUCUUUCCCUUAUUUCAAUGUUUGGGCAUACAAGGAGUAUGGUUCCCCACACAUGUUAUGUAUCCUACCUGGACGGAUGGAUGCUCUUCUGUAUAGUCCUUGUCUUCCUUUGCAUCAUGGAGUACAUCAUUAAUCUUUGUAUUCUAGCAACAUAUUAUACUAGGAUAGCAGAUAGAGUUAGCUGGUGGACUAGGUGUGUUGGUGCUCCAGUAAUCCUUGUAGUUUUCAACCUGGUGUACUGGCUUCUGCUUAUAGAACAUCAUUUAACAGAACAUCAUGUUGAACAAACCUUUCAAAGACACACUCCUGUUAACUGUACAGUAGAUUAGACUGUACAGUAAAUUAGACUGUACAGUAGGUUAGACUGUACAGUAAAUUAGACUGUACAGUAGGUUAGACUGUACAGUAGGUUAGACUGUACAGUAAAUUAGACUGUACAGUAGGUUAGACUGUACAGUAAAUGUUUUUAACAAAAGCCCACUUAUUAUGACAUAGUUAUAGAUUUGUAUGUUUUUGUUAUCGUUUACUGAUAAAUUCAAAUGUAAUAAAGUAAUAUUAUCAAUUCA
rnacentral:misc_RNA from 1 species